rnacentral:rRNA from 1 species
UACGUAGGGUGCAAGCGUUGUCCGGAAUUAUUGGGCGUAAAGAGCUCGUAGGCGGUUUGUCGCGUCUGCUGUGAAAACUCGGGGCUUAACCCCGGGCCUGCAGUGGGUACGGGCAGACUAGAGUGCGGUAGGGGAGACUGGAAUUCCUGGUGUAGCGGUGAAAUGCGUAGAUAUCUGCAGGAACACCCGUGGCGAAAGCGGCGCGCUGGACCACUACUGACGCUGAGGAACGAAAGCUAGGGGAGCAAACAGG